AUAACAACAUUGCUUUUUUUGUUUAUGUGUUAGUAAUAUCAGGUCUCUGCUUCAUCGUUUUAUUACAAGAGCUCUGCAAACUCUUUGGAGGCUUUGAAUAAGCAUAUUGCACAGCCUGUAACCUGACUCAGCUCAUCUUCCCCCCAUUGAGAAGGCACAGAGGGAUUGCAGUCUCAUUCCACCUGUGGACAAUUGGAGCAGCUGUUGUUUAACUACCACAGACCACAAUUUAUCUACAGCUUGAGG
rnacentral:lncRNA from 1 species